CAGUCGCCGCGGUAACACGUAGGUCCCGAGCGUUGUCCGGAUUUAUUGGGCGUAAAGCGAGCGCAGGCGGUUAGAUAAGUCUGAAGUUAAAGGCUGUGGCUUAACCAUAGUAUGCUUUGGAAACUGUUUAACUUGAGUGCAGAAGGGGAGAGUGGAAUUCCAUGUGUAGCGGUGAAAUGCGUAGAUAUAUGGAGGAACACCGGUGGCGAAAGCGGCUCUCUGGUCCGUAACUGACGCUGAGGCUCGAAAGCGUGGGGAGCAAACAGGAUUAGAUACCCGCGUAGUCCCUGUCUCUUAUACA
rnacentral:rRNA from 1 species